GAUAAAGCUACAAAGAGCAUAUAGGGGAUGCCUUGGCACUAGGCGCCGAUGAAGGACGUGAUAAGCUGCGAUAAGCCACGGUGAGAAGCACAUAUUCUGUGACCCGUGGAUUUCCGAAUGUGGGAACACAGCACUGUU
rnacentral:rRNA from 1 species